UCAAUGCUAACCUCAAAUAAAAAGUUUAUUCCGGCAUAAACAAUCCGUUUAAUUUGUUUUCGCGAGCAUUUAUCAAACAUUUAACAAAAUAAACUCUUGAACAUUAUGGCUGAUGCCAAGGUGAAUACAUUUUUCAUUUCUGAAAAAAUCUCCAAAGUCCGUUGGGUGCCGGAACAGUUGCGCGAAAGUGAACGUUUCCUAAGUGGCAGUUGGGAUAUGCCCAAAAAUUUUGUGCGAAUUUGGCGGCUACACAAGAAUCAAUACGAUGAUUCCGAUUAUAAUGAAUAUGUGCCAAGAUGUAGUGAUAAACUGGCCAUGGAUGGUGAUGUGACGGGUCUAGAGUUUGUCACUGACGAUGCGGCUGUGGUCAGCUGCAGUAAUGGGCGUAUAACUUUGUUGAAAAUCAAGAAAGCCGUCGAAGAAGACUUGCUGCAAGAAGAGGCCCACAGUGAGGUGUUGCACAAAUUCAAGGCAAGUGGCCGUAGUGCUUGCUGCACUUCCAUCUCUGUGUAUGGCAAAGAAGUGGCUACUGUGGGCGAAGAUGGCCGCUUGAAUAUUGUUGACACACAAGCCCAUUUGGCUGUUAGACGUUCCUUAGAAGCCGAUAGCUGUUCACUCCUGUCCGUUCUCUAUGUUAACCCUCAGGAAGUAUUGACCGCUAACCGCAUGGGUAUCAUACGCAUGUUUGAUAUACGCUCGGCAUCAGAUGGUACUGCCACCUCGGCUUUUAUGACAUCUUGCGAGGAUGAUAAACGUUGUAAUUAUGUCUCCUGUCUAACAUCACAUCCCACACAACCUCAUAUUGUAUUGGCUGGUUCUGAGGAGGGCUCCAUAACUGUGUGGGAUUUACGAAAUCCUGGUUACCCGGCAUCCUAUUUGUCAGCACACUCUAGCCCCAUUACCGAUAUUGGCUUCCAUCGUUCGGAUCCUUCGAAACUGUUUACCACAGCUGAAUGUGGUGAACUAUGGUUGUGGGCCCAACAUCCCACUAUGGGAGGGGUACAUAAGGGCAUGGAGGCCACAUCUGCGGAAAAUACCAAUCCCUGGCUUAAUGGAGAACGUGCUAAAAGUCGUAUAAAUGUUACAUCACUGAUGUCGGAUCUGCGAAAAGCCAUCAACUCUUUUGAUUCUCAGAGUUCCAAAAUUAUAUGUGGCAGCGAUAGUGAGGCAAUUUAUUUUGUAGAUAAUAUAAUUUAAUAAUAUAUAACAUAAGUCAUAUAUGGAGUAACCAAGUUGGAGGAGGCCAUCAUAAAAGAAAUAAGUAAUAAAUUAUAUAAACCAUUUUCAAAUUAGCAAAGAACUGUAACUCCAAAUCAUUCAAGACACAAUCAAUCAAUCACUCAAGGCACAAUCAAUCAAUCAUUCAAGACACAAUCAAUCAUGCAAGGCUCAAAUCAAUCAUUCAAAACCCUUUCACACAUUCCAGACUCAAUCAAGCCACAAUGAACCAUAAGCAAGAUUUUCAGAAUACUUUCAAGUCAAUAGCAAAUAUCAAGAAAUUUUGAAAUCGUUGUUAAAUUCACCAUCGAGAAAAGUACUCCAUACAACUCAACAGGGCCACGCCACCAGAGACUACAACGACCUAUUAGUGCUG